CUAGGGUUGACAGGAGCAACAAGGAGCAAUUGGAGCAGUCAGCCAUAUUGGGAGUUCAACCAGCAGCAGAAUUGAGACAAGAUGAAUUUGAUUCAAGAUGACGGUAUUGAACUCGAAAGGUAUUGGGAAAUAAACAUCAGUCAACAGCAUGUAGAUCAAAGAGCAUUCUUGCAUUUUCCUACAAUAAUAAGUAAGGCUUUCUUAACACCGCAACAACGACGCAUUAGUAUGGUUCUUCAGAACACAAAUAUUUCCGUUGAUUGUGAAAUUCGAAUGGCCGCAAGAAAUCAACAUGAGAGGUACAUAUCUGUAGGUUUUAAUACAUUUCUAAAUGUUGCUAACAUACAACCUGGCUCAAGAUGUCGCUUCACUUUAGAGGAUCCACCUCAAGUCUUGAAUGUUGUUGUCAUGGAUCAACAACAGUAAUUGUAUUAUGUCAAAUAAACUUAUCAUGGCUAAUGUG